GAUGAAGAACGUAGCGAAAUGCGAUAAGUAGUGUGAAUUGCAGAAUUCCGUGAAUCAUCGAAUCUUUGAACGCACAUUGCGCCCCCUGGCAUUCCUAGAGGCAUGCCUGUUCGAGCGUCAUUAACAACCAUCAAGCGGGACCUGUCUGCCUCGCUUGGCCAUGGGGGAUGGCCGCCCUCGGGGCGCCCACCCCCGAAAUACAACGGCGGACAGCCACCACGGGGCACCCGGGCGUAGUAAGUUGCUCUCUCGCCCGCGCCCACGGAAUGGACUGUCCGGCCGGUCGAACCCCCAACAUCCAAUGGUUGACCUCGGAUCAGGUAGGGAUACCCGCUGAACUUAAGCAUAUCAAUAAGCGGAGGA
rnacentral:misc_RNA from 1 species